UACGGGGGGUGCAAGCGUUGUUCGGAUUUACUGGGCGUAAAGGGCGCGUAGGCGGCCAGCACAAGUCAGUUGUGAAAUCUCCGAGCUUAACUCGGAAAGGUCAACUGAUACUGUGCGGCUAGAGUGCGGAAGGGGCAACUGGAAUUCUUGGUGUAGCGGUGAAAUGCGUAGAUAUCAAGAGGAACACCUGCGGCGAAGGCGGGUUGCUGGGCCGACACUGACGCUGAGGCGCGAAAGCCAGGGGAGCGAACGGG
rnacentral:rRNA from 1 species